GCAAGUAGAACGCUGAAGAGAGGAGCUUGCUCUUCUUGGAAGAGUUGCGAACGGGUGAGUAACGCGUAGGUAACCUGCCUUGUAGCGGGGGAUAACUAUUGGAAACGAUAGCUAAUACCGCAUAACAAUGGGUGACCCAUGUCAUUCAUUUGAAAGGGGCAACUGCUCCACUACAAGAUGGACCUGCGUUGUAUUAGCUAGUAGGUGAGGUAACGGCUCACCUAGGCGACGAUACAUAGCCGACCUGAGAGGGUGAUCGGCCACACUGGGACUGAGACACGGCCCAGACUCCUACGGGAGGCAGCAGUAGGGAAUCUUCGGCAAUGGGGGCAACCCUGACCGAGCAACGCCGCGUGAGUGAAGAAGGUUUUCGGAUCGUAAAGCUCUGUUGUAAGUCAAGAACGAGUGUGAGAGUGGAAAGUUCACACUGUGACGGUAGCUUACCAGAAAGGGACGGCUAACUACGUGCCAGCAGCCGCGGUAAUACGUAGGUCCCGAGCGUUGUCCGGAUUUAUUGGGCGUAAAGCGAGCGCAGGCGGUUUGAUAAGUCUGAAGUUAAAGGCUGUGGCUCAACCAUAGUUCGCUUUGGAAACUGUCAAACUUGAGUGCAGAAGGGGAGAGUGGAAUUCCAUGUGUAGCGGUGAAAUGCGUAGAUAUAUGGAGGA
rnacentral:rRNA from 1 species